CAGGGGGGACCUUCUGCUAAAAUCGCCCACGUCCUGUGGGCAACGCAGAAAUCACCACAUCCUGUGGA
rfam:Oceanobacillus iheyensis HTE831 DNA, complete genome.